UUCUUUAAACCAACCCACAUCAUGUUUAGAUCAGACGCUAAAAGAGACUUUUAGUGUCAAUAAUAACAACAUGAC